AUUGAACGCUGGCGGCAGGCCUAACACAUGCAAGUCGAGCGGAUGAAGGCAGCUUGCCCCUGGCUUCAGCGGCGGACGGGUGAGUAAUGCCUAGGAAUCUGCCUGGUAGUGUGGGAUAACGUCCGGAAACGGGCGCUAAUACCGCAUACGUCCUGAGGGAGAAAGUGGGGGAUCCUCGGACCUCUCGCUAUCAGAUGAGCCUAGGUCGGAUUAGCUAGUUGGUGGGGUAAAGGCCUACCAAGGCGACGAUCCGUAACUGGUCUGAGAGGAUGAUCAGGCACACUGGAACUGAGACACGGUCCAGACUCCUACGGGAGGCAGCAGUGGGGAAUAUUGGACAAUGGGCGAAAGCCUGAUCCAGCCAUGCCGCGUGUGUGAAGAAGGUCUUCGGAUUGUAAAGCACUUUAAGUUGGGAGGAAGGGCAGUAAGUUAAUACCUUGCUGUUUUGACGGUACCAACAGAAUAAGCACCGGCUAACUUCGUG
rnacentral:rRNA from 1 species